AGAGUUUUGCCAGAAACCCUUGAGUCUGGAGUGGUACGGCUGGAGUCCAGAUUGCAGUCUGUGGAGGAGUGGACAGGAGGUAAGAAGUGGACAUGAGGUUGAAUUGCCCUCUGUUCUUUCAGGGAGCUUGGCUGUGAGGGGAAAAGAGAGACAUAGGAAUGGUGAAGUUUUGUUUGUUGAUUUUAAGAAGUGAACCACUUGGAUGUGCAGGGAAGUAGCCAAGCUAGAGACAGAAAGAAUUCUGAAGUAUAGGGUGGGAGGGGGUGGAAUUUGCUAGCACAGGUGAAGGAAUUAGCCAGAAACCAGAAAAGGGGGGGUCAAUUCCUCUGUGAUGAGAAGAAAGCUGGCACUGAUCAGUGUGGAUAAAAACAGAUAAAAGUGUGGGUUGAGAUGGGCGUGUGUGGUAAGAUGUUGAGGAAGUUCAUGCUGAUCAUCUCAAUAGUCUGUGAAGAGGUCUCUGAGGAGAAUGGUGCUGGCCAUAGGGCAAAAGCAUUAGGAAGAGUAGACGUGGUUUUAUUAAGCUAUUUGGGGGAGCAGCUGCUCAGAAGUGAGCUUAGACAGGAGUUGAAUGCUCCAAUCCCUGCUGGGGUGGAAGGUGGCCAGUGGCUGGGUUUCCUGCAGUAGUGCUCCCUCUUGCAGCUGUGGGAUUGAGGAAGGGGAUAGCAGAUGGGAGCCAGUAGGAAGACAAGGGAGACCGAUGGGCGAGUACUGGAGUGUGCGGAGGAGCGGGCUCGGAAAUGUGGGUCCAGGGGCACUCCUGAACCCCCAGAAUUUAGCAACUUUUAAAAACCUAAUUAAAAAUAAAUGAUUUAUAUAAUUUGAGGUCUUUGGACAAUGGGAACACAGAAUAAAUUUUAAAAUACUGGUGAGACAAAGGCAGUAUUUACACAGGUAUUACAAACACUUUGGGCCCUUGGGCCCUAUUCUAAAUUAACUUAAAAAAAAUCAUUGCAAGACAAUGUAUAGUUAUCCUGUUUUUCCUCUUUUCCUAAAUUUCCCUAAAGUGUUUGUAUCUGCUUGGUAAGGGGAAAUAAAGUGGGUUAUAAGUGCUAUUGAUGCUUGAUUUUUCAUUCAGGCGUGUGUGUGUGUGUGACACACAGAGAGAGAGAGAGAAAAUCAAGAAGUCUCUCUGCAUUUUGUGACAUUAGACGUCAAGUAUGACUUUUAAACAACAAUAUAUGUGGGAGUUGAUGUUGGUGUAGAUCUAUAGCUAAAAUUCUCUUGGAGGGUGAUUUUUCUUUCUGGUAGGAAUAAAGUAUUGAAGUCAAACUGUUCAGGAAUUUGUCUUUCAAAUAAAAAUAUCUUUAAAAUUCUGGCAGGAAGUAGGCAAGUUAAGCAGCUAGCCUGGGGCUGGGGGUAACUGCCAGGAUAGUUCUGGAAGGAGCCAGUUAUGUCAAUAAAUAUUUGCUGCCAGGUGCUGCCUUUUAAAGGAGCAUUUGCCCCUUGUAAAGUUCUCCCCUAGGGCACUUUGAACUGGCCUGGAUUGGCAGAGGAGGGGGAGAGAAAUUAAGCCUUUUAGGGGAGACCGUCAAUGACUCCUGUGAGUGAUGAGGUUAGUGUGAUGGCAGCCAGAUUUCCUGCCAGAAAUCGACCACCCCUGUGUUAUAAAAAUGUCAGGAAGAGUUUCAUAAUGCCACCGUUCUUAGUAGUCCCAAACCGGAAACAAAAUGCCAAUUCCAGGAGAAUGGUUAAAUAUAUUAUAGUUAAUUAAUUCUGUCAUGAACAAGGAAGUACAGAUACAUACAACAACCAGAUUAAUCCUUGUCACAAAAGGAUUGAGUAAAAAUCUAAAAUCCCAGAAAACCAUUUAUAAUAGUACAAUACCAUUUUUUUAACAUUCCAAAACAAGAGAAGGAACAAUAAACACCAAAUUUAGGAUCGUGCUUACUCAUGAGGGGGCGAGGGAUAGAGAAGACAGCACAGGGGAGAGAAUGUAAGUGAUCCGAGUUAUUGCUGAUAUCAUUGUUUGAGUUAGUACGUUCAUGGGUGUUUAUGUAUUAUUUAAAAUAAAAUAUUAAAUAAAGAGGGUCAUACACUGAUUGAUGGAGUUAGUGCAUUAGAAAGCAAAGAAGUAUGCAUUUCAAACAGCAUGACAUUGUGGGCACUAAAUGUGACCAUCACGUGGGCCCCUUUGGCAAGCCCAGCUCUUCUCACUUGGUGGGCUAGAUCGGUCAGACUCUUCCUACAGGGUUUCUCUUCUAGUGUUGAAGAUGGACUACAAACAACUGAAGAGUUCAGAAAGUGAUGAGUACAAGACACAACCAUACAACCAAACCAAUCAGGACAAUAUCUUCAUGAGUAAAUAUGUAGGUAUAUCUCUGGUUAGGUGCCCAGGAAUAGAUUAAUUGGAUGAAAGAAUAUGUACAUUUAGAUUUUUUUAUAGAUGCUGCCAAAUUACUCUCCAAAAAGGUUGUACUAAUUUGUAAAACCUUGUUUCCCUACAUCUCUGCCAACACUGGUGAUUAUCAGUCUUUUGUCUUCGCCAACUGGCAAAAAAUGGUAUCUCAUUGUUGCUUCAAAUGAUCAAAUUUUAGAUGAGCUUUUGGUGUGGAAAUCAUUAGUGAGUAGAGACUCUUGGGGCACAUAUUUCUGUUCCAUUAUUGAUGGAAGAAUAGCUGUAGUUGUACAUGCCUAAAUACUUUGGGAACAAGUGUGACAUGUGAUUAGGUCUAUUUAUUACUCUCUGAUCCAUUUGGUCAGGAAGUAGCUCUUGCUUAAAACACGUGGGAGAAUGGGAGAGGAGGAGAGGAAUAUUUCUCUGGUGCUUUUGUGUGCCCUGUAGACAGUGGAUUAGGUGCUUUUACAUAUCCUUUCAUUGAGUUUAUUCUUUAGAGCAGCCCUCUGAAGUGGUAUGGCGACCCAGAGACUUGAAGAUCUUGCUCUAGUCCUGCAGUUGGAAGGUGAUUCAGCUAGCAUUCUGAUUCCCAAAGCCCAUGCUCUCAUUUCAAAUGUUUAUUUUUUCCCUUAAGCCUAACAGAAGACAGCACCAACUUUAAGGAUCUGGUCUUUUAAUGGGUCUAUUCCAGUGGUUCUCAAUAUUGGCUAUACAUUGGAAACUCCCGAGGAGCCUGAAAAACUACUAAUGCCCGUGUCCUACUCCCAGAGAUUCUGAUGUAAUUGGUCUGAGGUACAGCCUGGACAUAAGGAUUUUGAAAAGCUCCCAGGGGAUUCUAAUGUUCAGCCAAGGUUGAGAGCCAUUGGUUUAAUUCAAUGACCUCUAGACUUCUUUUUAGAUUUGCAUUACCUAUAAUUUGAUUUUGUGACACUCUUUUGGCACCUUAUCUCCUAAAAGUUUUGUGAGUUUUUUCCUUGGUUUAUUUUGAGACUUUUGGAAAAUUUCCAUGAUAGACUUUGGAAUAAUUACAGAUAUCCUGGUGCAAGAUGAAUAGAAAGACUGCAUUACUAAAUUCAGGCUGGGAAUUGCUGAGCUAAUUAUUUAUCAGAUCUUUAUUUUGCAAUUUAAAAAAUCGGUAAACCAACUGCAGCAUGACAUAAGCAAUCUUCUUGUAGGAGAGUAUUAGCAAAAUAUCAGUAUCACUUAUGACUUUUCACAGAUACAUUUCAUCUGUUACUAAACAUUAAAUAGGGCAGGUCAGAGAGCUCAAAAAAGAAAAUAUAUCAGCUGUAGUAAAUAACAUUUUAUUCAAAUAUUACUCAGUUUUUCUGGGAAUCAUUUACCUACUGUCUUAUAAAAGUAAAAUACUUUCUGGUUUUUGACCACAUACAUAUGAUGAGCUUAGUUGGUAAAAAUAUUUCUCCCACCUAUGGCAUCAGGAUGCCUCCCCCAACUCCACUACAGCUUUAGAAAAACUAAAUAGUUAUUUUGGCAGCUCAAAGGGGAUCAUAGUGCCUCUUACCUAUGCAGUUGUUGUGGUUUAUUCUUAAUAUGUGUUGACGUUUGAUAUUAUAUUUCUUGGUGGUGUGGGCAGCAGUUAUAAGAGAGCUGUGUGGUGAUUCUAAUAGAGACCUUGUUUUUUCCAUUCCAAAGCACUUAUUAUUGUUGUUUUAUUAUUGCUGUUACUAUUUUAACUUGUAGUUUUUUUCCAAACCAGUUUAAUAUAGCUCUGAUUAUGAGGGCCUAUUCUAUUUCUGUGUGUCUUGGGAGCUUUUUAUUUUAAAAAAAUAUUUAUUUAUUAUAAAGACAGGUUUUUCUCUGUUGCCCAGACUGGAGUGCAGUGGCUAGUCACAGGCACGAUCACAGCACACUGUAGCUUUGAACUCCUGGACUUAAGCAAUCCUCUAGCCUCAGCCUCAGCUUGUAGUUGGGACUACAGGAGCAAACCACCAUGCCUGGCUUGUCCUGGGAGUUUUUCCCUUCUCCUUCCAGUUUUAUUUUCUGUAAGUCUUAUUCAUCACGGCAUAGUCCAGAGAUCAGCUUUGCAAAAACCACGCACUGGGAAGGGACAAGAAAAGCCACAUUUGGUAGGUUUUGCUUUUAAUUCUGUGUCAGUGAUUUCCUGUGGAAAUUUGGUUUAUUCUGUGUCAUAAUUUCCUUAUCUAUAAAAAUGGAGAUAAUAGUUCCUGAUUCCCCAGUUAAAAUGAGGAACAUACAAUAUUGCCGUAUGUGAAAACACUUUGAAAUAUAUAAAGUGUGGUUUAGUUCAAUACUAUUUAUUUUGAGUGAGUGCAUUUUCCUUCUAAUAUCUACAAAGUUGGUGGAAGAAACCUGAACCGUCUUGGAGCUGCACUGUGGUGUGUGAAGAGCAUGUGAAACUGGAGGUAGAAGGCCUGGUGUGAAUCAGGGCAAAUCAUCUCAUCCCAGCUUUAGUUUUCAUCUUUAAAAUGAGGAUGAUAGAAAGAAACCAUCUCAGUGGGUGGAUGGAUUAAAUACAUAUUUCAUGAAUAUGAAAGUACUUCAUAAACAGCAAAGUACCUCACAAACAUUAGCUAUUCUUCAUUCAAAUUUGAGUGCAUGCUCCCCAUCCUUGAAGCCAUGCAGAUUUAUUCUUCAAGGCAGGUGUCUUUCUCCUUAGCCUCUAAACCCAGAAUCUUGGUGUUAAUGGCCAGAAUCCUCCCUUUCUUCCAUUUUACUUCUCCUUUACCAGGUCCUCCCACCUGGACAUCGCCACCUCAGACCUUUCCCUCUUUCCCCUUCUUUACUCUCACCGCUCCCCCAAAUCAUAUUGACAUUUUCCUUCUCUGGGUUUUAUUGUCUAAAUUAUGUAAUUACAAUUCUAUUAACACAAAUUAAGAUGACAUUAUCUUUUUAGCAGCUGAUUAACAGCUGCUAUGGCUAGCAUUUUAGAUGACUAGUUUAUUUGUUAAAUGCAUCCAAAAUAAAUGUUACUAGAUGGUGUUGUUCCUUUGGAGAGCAUGCUGUAUUUUAGCAGUGACCAAGAGUACUAGAACCCAAAGGAAUGAUGAAUGCAAAUAUUAUAUUUCAGGUCUGUAUUCAAUAUAAGGUGAAUGUUUCAGGACAGGUGUGCAUUUUGUUGCCAUUCAAAGUAUACCUUCUAUUCAGCUCCUCACUCUGCUAUUAUGCUGCUCUCAGAUGGGAAGAAAACAAAUGAACCAAAAACCAUAUUUUUUUCCUUUUGUGAAUAUAGAUGAAAAGUUAUUUAAUAAGGCUUUGAUAAUUUUUCAGCAAUUUUAAUAACAUUAUAUCAUAUAAUAUAUACUUUACUUUUUUGGACACAGGAAAUACCUGGCAGGCUUUGCUUUAAUUCUAUAUCAGUAAUUUCCUGUGGAAAUUUGGAUUAUUCUGUGUCAUAAUUUCCUUAUCUAUAAAAAUGGAGAUAAUAGGUGAAGCUUUGUUGAUGAUAAACUUUUAAAAUAUCACACAAAUCAUCUGACACAUAUAUGUAACAUGACAUUCACAUCUUUACAAAAAAAACCCAGCCAGUUAUGUUCCUAUUUUAAUAGUAUUCUAUAAGGUUUUCUACCCCCAAAACACCCCAGUAUCCUCUUUUUGUUUCUUUUUGAAAACAUCGUUUUAAAGGGAUAAGCACAGAGUUCCUAAAAUCAGCUUACCUUACCUCCCCCUAGUUAUGUAUACCUAACAUUGAGCAGUUGGUUUUUGAAAUUUUUCUAUAAACUCACAGGAAAAAAUACUAAACAAGUAUCUCUGAUAAUCCUAGAUAUUUUUCUUUCUGGGAGUUAGGUUUUGCUUUCUUGCAGUUGUCUUACUAAGUCAUAAAUUUCAAAAACAAAUGUAUCUUCCAUAACUACUUUGUACAGCCACAAAAAAGAUUGCUUCUUUGGGGUAACUAAUGACUUUUAAGGCAUUCUUAAAAACAAUGCCUCCUUCCUUUGGGCUAUAAGAAUGUUUAGGCUGAAAGGAACUGAAGGGCUAUUUAGCCCCAACUCCUGUAUUUAUUUCCAGAUGCACGAACUGGCUCCAAAGACCUGAUGUGGACUUAAAUUCACACAGAUGGGUUGUUUUAUUGGGGAGUUCUUGAGAAAGAGUUUGAAUCGGCAUAUUGAGUAUGUGAGAUUCGAAACAUCUGAGUUGUAUUGGUUAGAGCUUUGUGCCAUUGCAUCUUUCAGAUAUUAUUUGUCCAUGCUUCUGUUUUCCUGGCAAGAUGGAAUGACAGUAGCAGCAUUUCUGUCCUAAUGCUGAGAUGGGGAAAGUUUUAUGUACAUCAUAGAUAUUCAAGUGAGAGAUAAAAGUAAAGCCAGCCUCUGUUUUGAAAUUUAGUUCUUCUCUGGCCUGAGAUGGUCUCAAUUCUUAACUCUUAGCCUUAGAAAAAUAAGAUUUUAAAGCAUAUGUGUGGGGAGACUUGGUAUAAUCUCUAUCUAGUGAGGGAUCUCUCUACCAUCCCCAAGGAGUGCCUGGUCUUGGCUUGGACACUAUUACAAAAAUUUUUUUAGACAAAAUAAAUUUAGCAGUUAUUUAGCAAAGAAUGCUUCUCAGAUUGGGCAGCCCCCAGAACCAGAACAGGUUCAGAGUGCCUCUGUGGCUGCUACAUGGUUGGAUAACUUUUAUGUACAGAAAAAAGAAAGUGAUGUAUGGAAGAUGGAAGUGAACUAUAGAAACACUAUAGCUGAAUUAGUUUCAACUCAGCAUUUGCCUUAUUUGAACAUGAUUGAACAUUUGGCAACCUGUGGUUGACUGAAACUCUGUGAUUGCUAUAAGAGUAGGUUACAAUUCACAGUGUGUGGAGAAACCUUUAGGCAGAACUUAAAAUAUGUUAGGAGGCAGCUUUAGGCUAAACUUAAUUUAACAACACUUUUAGGCAGAGCCGUCUCUGCUGGCUUCAUUGUUGACAGCUCUAUUUGUUUGAAAGUUUUUGACUAUUUUGAGUUGAAAUCUGCUCCCUGUAAUUUCUGCCCACAAAUUCUAGUCCUUUUUGGGGAAACCCAGACCCAAUAUACUAUCAAUUGACUUCUUUCUUUCUCAUGAAGUCUUUUCCUUUCCGGAGUAAUCACUUCCAUGCCCUUCAGCUUUUCUUCAUAAGGCAUUAUUUUCAGAUUUCUGAUUGAUCUUCUUAGGACUCAGUUUGGUUUUUAAAUUUUGUCUUUUAACAUGUGAGGCUCAGAACUGAAUACCUCUCCAGAUGUGGUUGUCCAUUAUGGGAUCUAUGGCAAAACCAUGACAUCUGCUAGUGACACUGUAUUUCUAUUAAUGGAGAAUAAAAAUACAUUUACUUUCUUGACAGUUGCCUUAUACUCUUGACAAAUACUAAACUUGGAAAGAACUAACCCUUCUGGAUAUUUUCUGCAUGAAAUGUUGUCACAUCAGGUCUCCUCUAGUCUGUGCAAUUAAAAUUUGAACCUACAUUUAUCUAUGUUAGAUGUUAUAUUUUUGGUUUCAUUGUGGCAAGAGCAUUUAAAUUCUUGACUCUGCCCUUGAUUGAAAUCAUUUGCAUACUUUUCUUAUGGUAGAAGAACAAUCUUCAGAUUUUGAGCAGUGGGGUGCCUUAUUUUUCUUAGAAAUAUCGAGCAAAAGAUGCAUUGAUUCUUGACCUUAUUCAGGGUCUUCUAUUUAAAAUAUGUGUGUGUGUGUGUUGUAGAGGUAUGUGUGUAAUGUGUAUUUGUAGUUGUUGCUGUGGUGCAUUACCCAGAUCUUCCCUUCAGAACCAAAUCACUGAUUCUCUACUGAUGGGAAAUUAGAGACUGAGGCUCCUACACUGAGUCCCUCCCUGGGAAUUCCCUUCAACCAAAGAGUGUCUCACAGGAUCACAACACCUUCCCAGGGACAGCCUUCAUACAAUGAUUGGCUGAGGCAGGGGAAUAAAGGCUCAAUCCUAUUGCUUUGAGGAUGGGCCAUCCCAGCUCUAGAGAUUCCCAGUGUUACAGCUGAAUCUUUUGUGUUUGUGGCUGCAUUGAAAUUUAAUACUUUUCUCUGGCCACACCUACUUCCUUCAUUUUCCCACAGGUGUGGAAACCAAGGGUCCUCCUCAGUCAACUUCAUGUUUUCAAAUCUCCUUCAGAAUCAGUUUUCCAGGGAAAUUGACCUAAGAAAUUUGGUACCAGAAGGGCUCUAAGAAAGCUGAUUUUGAAGUGGGAAUUUGGAGCUUGGUCACUGUAGUUGGCUAGUAAUAGUGGAUAAUCUUUAUUAUGAAGUAGCCAUCCAAUGGUUAACGCUUUCACUGGUGAACUGGGAUGGGAUACCCAGGAAGGGAAUGACUUGGCUGGUGCAACUUUUCAGAUUUUUGAGAGGUACAAGUACUAAUUGUAAGGAUAGUGGAAUUGGAUGGCUGUUGCUGAGUUCCAUUAAUGCAUAGGAGAAAGACAAAAAAGCCGAAGUGUGAAAGUCUGGCAGACCUCCUUAACAGAAAUUAAAGUUACUCUUAUCUCCUACAGUCUGAAGGCAAAAAUGCUGAAAACCACACCCAGGAUUUUAUUUUAAGAGUAGCAUAUCCCCAGAAAAGAUUACAUUUUCAGCCCCAGCAAAUUUGCUAUGCCAAGGCCCAGGCUGAAAAAACAGAAUGACGAAAACUUUAGCUGGAAACAUGGGGCAAGGUACCCAGCUCUCCCUAAACCUCCUGAGCUUACAGAAGUAGCCCCUUUUUUUUUGUUAGAGAUGAGAACCCCACCCCUUACCUGAAGGCAAUAUAGAGACUUUUGCUUUGCAAAACUGCACCUACCUUCCUUGGUGGAUCUGCUCCCACCUCCUGGCUACCUAGCAUCAUGCAAAACAUAACCAGGUUACGGAAGUGUGAGCUUGCUAAGCAAGGAAAGGGACUAAGCCAUGGAGCUGCAGAACCCAGCAGGACGGAUAAUCAGGAGGCUGAGAGCAACCACCCUAGUGAAAAGCUACAAUUCUUUGCCAAAGUUUUGGACCUGAGCCAGUUUUCAGACUUAGAAGUCAUUAAUUCAAAAUAAGUCUGGGUCCUCAGGAAGAAGUCCCCUGCAAUAAUAGCACGGCAAAUGAUAUGGCAGUGUUUCUUCAAGUUAUCCCCUAAAGGAUCUAAGGCUAUUUACUCAGGUAACUAUCCUGGGAAAAGAAUACUCAGAAUUUUAAGGGUUGUUAGAUACAGGGUCCAAAAUGACCUUGAUACCUUAAGACCUGUGGCUUCCUGUUAAGGGAGUGGUAUGUGAAGGGAGUGGUAUGUGAAGGCCAGUAAUAAAUGGAAUCCUGGCUCAGGUCUGGCUCAUAAUGUGUCCAAUGCAUCCAAAGAUUCACUCUGUGGUCACUUCACGGGGCUCUGAAUGUGUAAUGGAAUGGGCAUAUAGGUAGUCACUACGACCUCCACAUUGGUUCUUGGCCUGUGGGGUGAGAGUAGUCAUAGUAAGGAGGCCAAGUGGAAGCCUCUGAAAAUACCCCUUAACCCUACUCAAGAGAGUGCAUCAACAAUAUUAUAUUCCUGAUGCAAUAGGUAGAGACUAGUGCCACCCUUAAAGACCUGAAGAAUGCAGGCAGUCCUUGUCCCUAUUUCAUUUAUCAGCCUAGUCUAAUAAAUGAAAAAAACCAUACAGAUCCUGAAGGAUUAGAGUAGAAUACUGCAAACUCCACCAAGUAAUAGCACAAUUAUAGCAGCUGUGUCAGAUGUGGUAUCUUUGCUAGAACAAAUUAACACAGCCUCAGGCACAUAGUAUAUGAGCAUUAAUUUGGUAUCUGUGUUCUUUUCUAUCCCUAACAGGAAAGAGGAUCAGAAAGAGUUUGCAUUCACUAGAAUAAUAAUAGUUCUAAGGUUAUGUUAACUCUCCCACCCUCUAACAUUAUAUAGUCCGAAGGGACACAUGCACCACCUGGAUUUUCUGUAGUACGUCAUCUUUGUCCUCUAUAUUCAUGACACCAUGUUAGUUGGACUGGAUGAACAAUAAAUGGCAAGUAUGUUGGAAGUGUUGGUAAAGAUCCACAUGCUAUAGAUGGUGGGAAAUAAAUCCUAUGAAGAUUCAGGUGCUUGUCACAAUAGUAGAGUUUCCUGGGGUCUAUUGGUUUGGGGCAUGCUGGAAUUUCCCUCCAAAAUAAAGAACAAAUUAUUGCAUUUCCAGCGUCCUAUCACCAAGAAAAGGUAAAACAUCCACUCGGCCUCUUCGAGUUCUGGAAGCAGUAUAUUCAACACUUGGGAACAUUUCUUCUACCUGUUAACUGAGUGAUAUAAAAGGCACCCAUCUCUGAGUAGGGCCCAUAGCAGGAAAGGGCACGGUAGUCAUUCUAGGCUGUGCUGCAGGUGGCUUUGCUACUCAGGCCAUAUGACUAGGCUGACCAUAUGAUAUAAGGGGUGUUGGUAGUGGAAAAAGAUACCAUGUGGAGUUUGUGGAAAGCCCCCUGUAUUAAUCUGCUGGGCAUGUUAAAAUACCAUAGACUGGGUGGCUUAAACAAUAGAAAUAUUUAUUCUCACUGUUCUGGUAGCUAGAAGUCCCAGGUCAAGGUCUAGCAGGGUGGAUUUCUGGUGAAGGUGCUCUUCUUGGCUUGCAGAUGGCUGGCUUCUCACUGUGUUCUCAUAUGGCCUUUUGUAUGAUAUGUUUGUGGAAGAGAGAGAGUUGGAGCACUCUGGUAUCUUUUCUUAUAAAGACACUAAAACUAUUGGAUUAAGACCCAACCGUUAGGACUCCAUUCAACCUUAAUUACUUCCUUAGAUGCCCCAUCUGCAAAUACAGCUACACUGAGGGUUCAGGCUUCAACAAUUUUUGGAGGGGACACAAAAUUCCACUCCUAACACCCCUAAAAAAGAAUCACAAUGCAGACUCCUAGGACAUGCCUUCUGUAGCAGAGAAUUAUACACCAUUCAAUAAACAGCUCCUGGGCUGCUACUGAGCACUAGAUAGUGGGAUACCAAAUGACCCUGCAGCCCGAAUGGCCUAUCAUGAGCUGGAUUGGGUCAUACCACAAGUUAAAUUCUAGUGAUCCCAGCAACAAUCAAAUAUAAAUAAAAGUGGUACGUUCACAAAGCCCAUGCCAUCUAUCAUUGUUUCAAUGGCAGUUCUCUCCCAGCUCACAUAUAGGACUGUAGGGACCAGGGGUCUUUAUGGCCAGCUAACAGAGAAGAAAAAAGGCCUGAACUUGACUCACAGAUGAAUUGAUCUGGGUACAAGCCAAAAAUAGACUUGGAUGCACUAUAGCCCCUCAGAGGUAGAGUGACGUUGUAAUAUCCUCCCAGUAUGUAGAGUUGUUGGUGUGCCCUUGUUAUUCAGUGUGUGUGUGUGUGUGUGUGUGCGUGUGUGUGUGUAAAGAGAAGUAGCCAGAAGUAAGAAUACUUAUGAAGUCAUGGACUAUGGAAAAUGGUUUGUCAGGGACAUAGAAAGAGAAUAUGGAAGAUAGAGGAUAAGGAGGUCUGGGGAGAAGAAUACAGAUGCACACAUGGGAGUAAGCCCUUAGUGUGAAGAUAUUUGUAUUACAUGUUAAUCUCCACCAGAGAGCAUCCAUUAUGGAAAAGGCACCAUGAAUGUCUAACCGAGUGGACAGAAUGACUUAGCUGACAUCAGCUAAUCUCCAUUCCCAUUAUGCAGUCUCCUAUAUGUUUGUUAUAUGGCGCCAUCCCUCAAGAAAACCAAACAAUUGGUGACAGCCUGAUUACACUGGACCCUUUUCACCUUGAAAUCCGCAUGUAUUCUGGAUGUGGGUUUUCCUUACCUUCUCACAGGGAAGUCAGCAUCACUAUCCAGCAGCUUAGAGAGUGUUUGAUCCACCAGCUCAGGAUUGGCAUAACAUUGUAUCAGACCAAGGAACCCUUUACAGCAAAAGAGGAGUGAAAGUAGACACAUGACCAUAGGACCCACCAGCCUUAUCAAAUACCAUACCACCCAGAAACUGCCUGUCUAGUAGAGUGAUAGAAUGACCUUGUGAAGACAUAAGUGAAGUGUCAAUUUGGAGAUGAUAACUUGUGAGGAUGGGGUGUAAGUGCAGCAUAUCCCUUAACCAUCAUUGUAUAGUGCUGUGUGUCCAAGAGACAGAAUGAAUGGAUCCAGCGAUGAAGGCUUGAAAGUUGGAGUAGUGCCAUUUACCUUUUGAAGCCCAUGUGAAGAAUUUGGGCUUCCAGUCCCCACAACUUUGGGAUCUGUGGGUUUAGAGGUCCUGCUUCUCAGAAGAUGAACACUUUUAUCAAGGGCCAGCUUAACAGUCCUAUGAAACUUUAAGCUGUGGCUGCCACCCCAUCACUUCAGGUUCCUCAGGCCAAGAGAACAGCAGUGAAAAGAAGGGGUCACCAUCCUGGCAGGGAUAAUUGGUCCUGAAAGAAAAUAGUAAGGCUGCUGCUACCCAAUGGGGGUGUGGAAAAAUCUGGUUGGCACUUAGGUGGCUCACUCGGGAGUUUCUUAGUACUCCUUUGCUCAAUUUUGAGAGUGAAUGGAAAAGUAUAGAAGUCAUGGACUGAGAACAUGUCCCGCAGUGAUGAGGUCUGGGUCACCCCCCAAGUUAAGCUGCCUUGACCAGCAGAGACACUAGCUUGGGAUGAAGAGGGUCAAGAAUGAGGGCUCAAGAAGAGGGUCGAGAUACAGUAGGAAAGCAAUGCACUGAGUAUCAGUUGUGGUCUUGACACCAGCUGCCCCACUAACACCUCCCUCUCUCACAUAAACUUCUGCAGGAAGAGAUGACCAAUCAGAAUCUUGGUAGACUUCCCCACAGAGAAAGCACACCAGAUCAAGUACAGCCCAACCAUUGUGCCACUUGUAUUUCUGUACAAGUGGAUAUAAAUCUGGUGUGCUGUCCACAUCCUCCCUUCAGGACUGAGGGACUCAUUCCCAUAGUGGCUGGACUGCUGAUGGCUGCUAGUUCUCAGCUGAAUCUCUGCCUGGGUAUUAGCUGAAGGGACCCAUUCACUCAAGGUCAUGACCCCCACCUGAGGGCAGCCCACAGCAAAUGGCUGGUCAAUGUGGAGUUAUAAAGUCUCAAUCCCUUGAGACUUGGGUGGUCCAAGUCAGAAGGACCAUCCCAGCUCCAGAGAACCCUGUAGGAUUGGCUGAGUCUUUUGUCGCUAUUGUAAUACAGUUCAACUACUCCUUGUGCCCAUUCCUAUAUCUUGUGCUCCUCCAUAGUUGUUGAUCCCAAGGAUACUUUCCAAGAACUUUCCCUCCUGAAAAUAUUCAUCUCAGAGUCUGUUUCCCAAGGAAUGCAUCUGAAGUCAUACUGUUUCUUAGUCUGAUAAAUCAGCAAAGAGCAGAGACCCCAUUCAAACUCUUUACACGCAGACACACAAUGGUACUUCAGUAUACGAUUCUGGUGUGUAGUCUUAUUUAGUUGGGGGCUGUUGUAAGUACUUUACAUGUCUCAGUUUAUUUAAUCAUUUCAACAAUUCUGGGAGGUUGCUACGUGUCAUUCCCAAUUUACAGAUGAGGAAAUUGAGGCAGAGAGUUUAGGUGCCUUUCUGAAUUCAUACAAGUAGUUACUGUCAAAGGUGAGAUUUGAGAUUUAUCAUUCUGCCUCCUACUAUGCUAUGCUGUUGUAAAGCUUUUGGAACACAAGAAGGUGUGUGUGUGCUGGAGGCUCCUAAGCCAUCAUUAGUGUACGUGAGACUGUGAGUAAGAGCUUCCCAAGCAUACAUGAUCCAUUCCUCAGUUUACCUGUGGGGAAGCUAACCUAGUAGUCAUCAUGGUUUAUUCUCAGGUGGAGACAGGGGAAUAAUUUAACUUGGUUACCUGUUAAAGAUGCAUUUAGCUAUUAGAGGAUUUUAAGUGACCUAGAUUUGUGUGUUUUAUUGGCCAUGAGAACAAAGAGGUAAAUGGUAGCAAAGAGACAGUAGUUUUUUUUCUGCUUUGACUCCAGUAUUUCUUGAUGCUAUUGACCAGGUGAUAGUUAAAAGCCAUGCUUGGUUCUCUUACCUCUUCUUACCCUCUAUAAGAGUGAAGGUUGAAUAGAGAUUAUUUCAGGGAGUGGAGAAAGUUAGAGACUCUCAUAAACCUAGAGUUUCCAGACUUAAUCUAAAUUGUUUUUGCACAAAGCUAACUUUGAUUAUAUAAUAUUCUGUUACAAAUAAAGUUGGCAUUAGAGUACUGCAGACAGCUGUUGAAUGAUAGGCAAAAGUAUGUAAUUGCAGCCCUCAUAAAGAUUUCAUUUUUGUACUUUCAUUUAAAUUGAUAAUUAAAUUUAAAGACAUCAAUCUUUAUUAAUUACAGAAUGUGCCUAAACCCUGACCAUGAGGAUAGUUAUUGUGGUAAAGUCUCUUGGUGCUGUCUGUCCAGUUAUGAAACUUUUCUUCAUUCACUUGUGCCUGAUUUUCACAAGUGAUAUUCAUUGUAGUUUGUGCCUGUGGCCUACAGGAGAAGAAAGCCACCUGUUUAACUAUUUAAAUAGUUAUAAGCCCAUAGUUGCCUGAAAUAACCUAGUCUUUCGUAGAAAGGUAUGAAAUUCCCUUUUCUGGGAAUUGUUUUUUGUUUCUGAUUCUUGCCCUUGGUAACAUUUAUGCUACUAUAUUAUUUCUAUGCUAUGUGCGUUAGUUAAACCAGCAUAAAAAUUAACAGAAGACUUCACAAAAAAGCCAGGCCAGAUGUCCCCUUGCUUAGCUCCUUUUAUCCUCUUUCCGCUGACUUCACAUGUUGGUAAUGGCUAUGUAUUUGGGUAUAUUUCUGGAUUAAACAUUUUAAAAGCUAACUGUUGCCUUCUGGUACUUGUUAUUCCUGUUACCAAUAGUUCCUAGUAUUGUUAAAAAGUCCCUGAUGAGUCAGUUCAAAAGGUUAGGGUUUAGUGAGAGGGAUAGUACAUUUCUUUUUGGUGGAAACUAUUAACAUAUAUAAGUCUUUGGCUUUUUUUUUUAUCAUUAUUUCUUAAAACUUUGAAAGUAUAUUAAUGAGUCAAAUCAG
rnacentral:lncRNA from 1 species